rnacentral:rRNA from 1 species
GUUAAUCCGGAAUUACUGGGUGUAAAGGGUGAGUAGGCGGGAAUACAAGUCAGAUGUGAAAUGCAAAGGCUUAACCUUUGAAUUGCAUUUGAAACUGUAUUUCUUGAGAGUCGGAGAGGUAAUCGGAAUUCCUAGUGUAGCGGUGAAAUGCGUAGAUAUUAGGAGGAACACCAGUGGCGAAGGCGGAUUACUGGACGACAACUGACGCUGAGACACGAAAGCGUGGGGAGC